UAUAAUGUUUGACUCUUCGUGUUAUUCAAAAAAUUUUACGUUUAAUACUUUUGUUUUUAUUAGAUGAUAAAACAUGAAUAGUACUUAAUGUGUGACUAAUUUAUUUUAAAUUUGUUGAAAAAUUUUCAAAUAAGAAGAACGGUCAAACAUUCAACACAUAAACC
rnacentral:pre_miRNA from 1 species